UACCGUAAAGCGUCCUGAGCUGGAUUCAAGAAAUCGCGCCUUCCACUUCUACCGGCGACGUCACCACGCUGCGUACGGCAAAAGCUGCCCUGCCAUUGGCUCGCAAACUCAGACGGGAUGACGUCAUGCGUUGCAGUGCGUCGAGACCUGAUGAUCAGAGGGAGUCUGUCCUGCUUCAAUGGGUGGAGUGACUGCUGGGUGGGCGAGAGAUCAUUCUGCAAAAGCUGUAGGCCCCCUGGUUAGAAAACACUGGUUUAUUGCUUUGAAGGGAGCACAGUGAGGCUCCUGUGCCACCGCCACAGUGUGUGCACCCUCCAAGAAGAUCUGGGGCAGGAAGUCCACAUCUCUAGGCGGUCGGGCAGAGCUCCCUGCACUUCCACCACUGACCAGGUGGGUGCUGAACGUUCUGCCAUGAUUGUGUGGAGGGCGACUUUACACUUGGCCUGGCUUCCUUUCCUUGUCCUGCAGCUUCCCACA